AUUAAAGAAUAUCAUUGAGGUAGAAUAAAUGUAGUGGAUGCAAGAAUACACAGUUCUUUCAUAAAGAUAAGAGCUAUGUUUUUAGAGAGACAGUAUGAACAGUAUAGUUAUAUCAUUGUCAAUCAUAUCGCAUCUCCUUAUUUCUUUUCCAACAGUAUCAAUGUCUAUCACGGAGGAAGCAGGAAAUUUGUGGAAGCCAAAGCAUCAAUGUCUAUCAUUUAGGAAGCAGCGGUGACACUAUCAGUGUAAUAGUCUAUCAGGAUUGGAUAAAGAGCGGUAUCAAUUUCUAUCAAAGAGGUAGCAAAAAAGAUAAAGAGUAUCAACUGAAGAUAAAAAUAAGGCAUGUCGCAUGAUUGCUAAUGAAACAACUAUCCACCAAAGUUCAAAUAAAGUAGAUGUAAGCAAUUAUAGGCAGCAGUGCUGCACUCAACAAGGAGAAAAAAAACAUACCGUAUAGUCGGCUAUUAAAGGAAUUAUCGAUAUGAAAAAUAUGAAACUAUUCAAUUGAGAAAACUAACGGCUUAUUUAUAGCAAAACAUUUUUCGAAAAGCAUAUAUGCCAGACAUAACCAAAAAUAACCAAUGAAUUACAGGAUCCUAGCUUCAGACAGGUAUAUAAAUAAUGUUGCAUAGUUAAACUAUUGCGUAGGUGUCAAACCGUCAUGCUAAGCUGGAGCAGUGGUUUAAUGGUUCAACAUAGGAACUAACUAUGCAAAACAGUAAAGGAAAAACAAAUAUGAGAAACACCAAAAAAUGACAACCACUCAAUUACAGGCUCCUAACUUCGGGUAUGCACAUAUAGAAUGUAGCAAGAAUACAUCUAACAAAAAAAA
rnacentral:lncRNA from 1 species